GCCGAUGUAGCUCAGCUGGUAGAGCAGCUCACUCGUAAUGAGCAGGCCAGCGGUUCGAAUCCGCUCAUCGGCUCCA
rnacentral:tRNA from 1 species